rnacentral:rRNA from 1 species
GACAGAGGGUGCAAACGUUGUUCGGAAUUACUGGGCGUAAAGCGCGUGUAGGCUGCUUGGAAAGUCGGAUGUGAAAGCCCUGGGCUCAACCUAGGAAGUGCAUUCGAAACUUCUGAGCUGGAGUGCUGGAGAGGAAGGCGGAAUUCUCGGUGUAGAGGUGAAAUUCGUAGAUAUCGAGAGGAACACCGGUGGCGAAGGCGACCUUCUGGACAGUAACUGACGCUGAGACGCGAAAGCGUGGGGAGCAAACAGG